UACGAAGGUGGCAAGCGUUGUUCGGAUUUACUGGGCGUACAGGGAGCGUAGGCGGUUGGGUAAGCCCUCCGUGAAAUCUCCGGGCCCAACCCGGAAAGUGCGGAGGGGAAUGCUCGGCUAGAGGAUGGGAGAUGAGCGCGGAAUUGCCGGUGUAGCGGUGAAAUGCGUGGAGAUCGGGAGGAUGGCCGGUGGCGAAGGCGGCGCUCUGGAACAUUUUAGAGGCUGAGGGUCAAAAGCGUGGGAAGCAAACAGG
rnacentral:rRNA from 1 species